GACAGCAGUCGCCACGGUAAUACGAAGGGGGCUAGCGUUGCUCGGAAUGACUGGGCGUAAAGGGCGCGUAGGCGGUUUUGACAGUCAGAUGUGAAAUUCCUGGGCCUAACCUGGGGGCUGCAUUUGAGACGUCAAGACUAGAGUGUGAGAGAGGGUUGUGGAAUUCCCAGUGUAGAGGUGAAAUUCGUAGAUAUUGGGAAGAACACCGGUGGCGAAGGCGGCAACCUGGCUCAUUACUGACGCUGAGGCGCGAAAGCAUGGGGAGCAAACAGGAUUAGAGACCCCCGUAGUCCCUGUCUCUUAUAC
rnacentral:rRNA from 1 species